rnacentral:rRNA from 1 species
AGGGAAUCUUGCGCAAUGGGCGAAAGCCUGACGCAGCGACGCCGCGUGAGGGAAGAAGGCCUUCGGGUCGUAAACCUCUGUCCUUGGGGACGAUGAUGACGGUACCCAAGGAGGAAGCCCCGGCUAACUACGUGCCAGCAGCCGCGGUAAUACGUAGGGGGCGAGCGUUGUCCGGAAUCACUGGGCGUAAAGGGUGCGUAGGCGGCUUGGCAAGUCCUGUGUGAAAGGUCGCGGCUCAACCGCGGUGGGUCAUGGGAAACUGCCAAGCUCGAGUGCCGGAGAGGAUAGCGGAAUUCCCGGUGUAGCGGUGAAAUGCGUAGAGAUCGGGAGGAACACCAGUGGCGAAGGCGGCUAUCUGGAAGGUCACUGACGCUGAGGCACGACAGCUGGGGGAGCAAAC